rnacentral:rRNA from 1 species
GACGAACGCUGGCGGCGUGCCUAAUACAUGCAAGUCGAACGCUUCUUUCCUCCCGAGUGCUUGCACUCAAUUGGAAAGAGGAGUGGCGGACGGGUGAGUAACACGUGGGUAACUUACCCAUCAGAGGGGGAUAAAACUUGGAAACAGGUGCUAAUACCGCAUAACAGUUUAUGCCGCAUGGCAUAAGAGUGAAAGGCGCUUUCGGGUGUCGUUGAUGGAUGGACCCGCGGUGCAUAGCUAGUUGGUGAGGUAACGGCUCACCAAGGCCACGAUGCAUAGCCGACCUGAGAGGGUGAUCGGCCACACUGGAACUGAGACACGGCCCAGACUCCUACGGGAGGCAGCAGUAGGGAAUCUUCGGCAAUGGACGAAAGUCUGACCGAGCAACGCCGCGUGAGUGAAGAAGGUUUUCGGAUCGUAAAACUCUGUUGUUAGAGAAGAACGAGGACGUUAGUAACUGAACGUCCCCUGACGGUAUCUAACCAGAAAGCCACGGCUAACUACGUG